AUGGUGUCUGCCGUAGCUGGUUCGGGUGCCUAUCCAGGGCGGCCGAGGCAAGAGGGAACCCGGUGCGAGUCCGGGACUGCCCCGCAGCGGUGAGUGGGAACGACCGCCGUCAUGAAGCACUGGGCCGAGCAGGCCUGGGAAGCGACGACCAGUAGGAGUGAGUAGGACGCCCACGAGUCCGAAGACCUGCCAGCGCGCCGUCCGCGUA
rnacentral:ncRNA from 1 species